ensembl:lncRNA
CAGGUGGACAGACAGACUGUAGACAUGACAGGUGGACAGACUGUAGACAUGACAGGUGGACAGACUGUAGACAUGACAGGUGGACAGACAGUGUCGGCAGCCGCGCUGGUAAACAGGGAGUGAAUGAUCUGUGCUAGGUGGUGAUUGGGCAGCUACAGGGAGUGAAUGAUCCGUGCUAGGUGGUGAUUGGGCAGCUACAGGGAGUGAAUGAUCCGUGCUAGGUGGUGAUUGGGCAGCUACAGGGAGUGAAUGAUCCGUGCUAGGUGGUGAUUGGGCCCCCUGCCAACUGAUAGAAGUCGAACCUGAUCAUCCUUUCC